rnacentral:lncRNA from 1 species
GUGAUUUGUUAAAAAUGACGUCUUAUUCACUUCCUUUUACCAAGGAUUGGAUUUGUAACUUGAUGAACUGAGUAACUGUUGUUAUGUAUUAUUGAACUCCAGGUACGAUCAAGUAACAUUGUUAUCAACAUUAAUUAGCCUUUUCAUCUAAAUUUGGGUUUUUAAUGUAAAACUAGAAUAGAAGGUGAAAAAGCCUUUGUGAGACCUCGAAAUUGAAAGUAUUAUCCUUUUCCUUUAUCAAAAUAUUGUUAAUCAAUUAAAAAUCAUCAAACAAAUAAUCUUGCUUUGGAACUGGUUGUUAUCAAAGGGAAACAAUUCAAUCUCAAUCUCAAUGUGUUUAAAUCCCAGGAGAGAUAAAUCUUGUUACACGAAGGGGUAGCUCAUCCACUAUAGUCUAUUUUUAAAACAUCUUUUAGAUAUUUAUUUUGCUUUACCAAAUUGUUUUAUAAUUAAUUCCUCACUUUGUGCUCGCAAAGUAAACUUUAUUAAAAAUCCUGAGAAUGUAUUUGCUAUGCAAUUUUGUGGUUUUGUGAAAAGAUCGUUUGAAUUGUGUGCAUUGAUGCCAUAUAGUUGAUAGUAACAAAUACGCAUGGGAGUUCAAAAACGAGAUGUGUGAAAAAAAAUUGCCAUUUAUAUUAAAGCAAAAAAACCUGACUCGUAAUUUUUGCAUAUAGGAGACAAAUCAGGUUGUUUAAUAUAAUUUGUCGAAUGAUGGGUUGUUAAUGGGUGCGAGUCAUUGGGACACUUUAAAGGGGUUGGACAGAAUUAUGGGAACUGUGGAAUAAGAGGACUAGAAAUGAGAAUUUGAUGGAUGAAAGCUUGAGGCAGGGUGGUCUUAAUCGUGAGAAAAGUUUGAUAAAACAGGGAUAAUUCUUGUUGAUGAAAAAAUAAGAGUGCAGAGGAACAGAAUAUGGAGUGAAGUAGGAGUUUGGGGAGGGAACUGGGAAUCAAUUCCCUGUGUCCACCAAAUAACUGAAAGCCAUUAAAGAAAUAAAGGAGUGGGUCUGACAUGUAUGUAAAAGGAUCAAUUAUGCAGGGGAUGCAGACCACAGAUUGGUCUAAUUUGACAACUGAUAAAUAAAAAUACGAUGGAUGCCGAAUGUGAUAGCGCUAUCUAAAUAAAAUAAAUGAAAACAAUAUAUAUUUUUUUUUCAAUAAGUACAAUUUUUAUUAUGUAGACCUAAAGUAGAGAAAUGUAGCAUUGAAUGACUCCAAUAAUUGAGCACGCAUCCGGCAGAGCACAGCUUCCCAUGGUCGGACUGAAUGUCAGUUCAUAAACAUCUCAAUCAUUCAAUGUUGUUACCAACCAUAUACAGUAUUAGCGUUGGCAGUCCUUGAAAAGCGCCAUUGACUGCUUUCAAUCAAACAACAGAAGGAAGUUUGUAACCAACAAUAUUUUCAAACAACUUAUCUAAAAUGAUUAAGUCUUUCAACAAAGGUUAUAAAUGAUAAGCAACGAUGCAAAUAUUGAAUUUUAGAACAUAUAUAAUUCUCUUUAACAAUGAAUUCAAAACAGCAAUAUCUAUAUUAUUUAACAAAUAUGUACUAAAUAGUGUCAUGCAAAUCGUUAAAUAUAGAAACACGCAAUUUCUAUUUUUUAAACAAGGGAAAUAACAAUUACAUGACAAUCCUGUCUUCCAAAUGAAUUUAAAAACAUUUUGUUUUUAUAAACAAUCAUAACUAAUUAGAAAGAAAGAAAAAACACACAUACACACUGAAAAUAACAUGUGUUUAUGUUGCAACAACUUUAUUGUUGAUAAACAACUGCCAACCUGUACCAGAAACAAACAAUGGUUUGGAACAAACUAUACACCACGAACGACAACUCGACCUAGAAUGUUACUCACAUUUGUUGAUAAUGUAAACAAACAUCGAUUUACAAAAAAGCGGUAAUAUGUAGCAAUUAAUAACAAUCAGAAUGCUGUAGUAAAGAUUAUCAGGAAAUUAAUCUGGCUUGCCGCCCGGAGAUGCCGAUAAGUGAUAUUUUACAAAAUCAUGUUUUCAGGGGACGUGAUGAAUUGUCCUUGCCAAAAUUACAAAUAAUUCAGGUAUCUAACAUUUCUAACAUAUAUUGAUACCACGAUAAUACAUUGAUAAUACUGCCCUUUGUUAAAUAUACCUUAUUGUCAAAGAAGCACCGUGCAUCUGGUUGCUCACGGCCUAAUAGAAAAAACGGGAUGAUCAAGCAUGGAAUUCCGGACAUUGAUCCGUCUCCAAAAUUUAAAAUUCUAAAAUUGAGUAUCGUCCUUUUCGCGCCAGACGACUAUUGAAAAGGCUACAUUAAUCAGUCUAUUUAUCAAACACCAGAAUAGUUUAACUAACUCAUUGGACUGCUUGAUUAAGCAUAUAGAAGACACAGUUAGAUGUGCAUCCAUAAAGUUGACUAAACAGAGUCAUGAAAAUGGAUAAUUUAAGUUUAAACUUUUCUUAAGAUUACAUUCAAACUAUGUGACAAAAUGUUCACCAGUAGACCCUAGGUUUUCACUCUAAGAUUACACAUUUAUUUCCUUGUAAUAUUGUAUCAAACUGAGUUUCAAUUAAUUUAAUAAUAUUCAAAUUCAUAUGAAAUGAUUGAUUGAUUGAUUGUUGGUUGCUUUACGCCGCAUUAGCACAAAAAGGCUAUAUCGCGGCGAGAGCUAAUAUGAAAUGAGUGACUGGUGAACAAUAAUGUUUGUCAAAUUCUUGAACCAAUGCGUGCAUAUGUCAAAAACUUGUUCAUCUGUUCAUGAUGUUAUCAAAAACGGUAAUUAAUCAAUUGCCGUGUUUUGAUGCCGUAGUUUACCGAUUGUCAACUUAUUGUAAACAAUAAUCAAAGAAGCAUGCUGAGCACGUGUAUAACAUGUACAAUAAGGUAAUAUUUUAUUUUAACGACAGAUCUAUGCGUAUAGCGAUCGCCGGAUUUUUACGAGAAAGGUCACGCUGAGUUCACUGCAUACGCAUGCAUAAAAAAAGUAAAUUCUUCUAAAUUUGGACAAAUUAUAGAAUUUUCUUGAGAAAAAAGUAUAUACACAUAAGUUUAAUAUUAAAAACUUGCCAAUUGGUUAUAAAAAAAACGUAUGCAUCAUUUUUUAAAUUGAAGAUUUAAAUGACUUUAAGGUUCUUCAAAGGGAAUUUAAAAAUAUAUCGGUUUUUACACUACAAAAUCUGCUCUGAGUAUAGAUAAACCGAAGCAUCUAUCAAAGUGUUAAAGCAUGACUGGACCUAGAUAUAUGAAACAUGUGAAAGUUAUAUGUAGUCUUUGUUCCAAACAAAUAACAAACUUUCCUGUAUAGUCAAUCGAUACAAUUAAUAUAACUCAAAACAUUGAUUAUAUGAGGGGAGCUUCUCGAACCUCUUUCCCAAAUUAGUUUAUCUUCUGCAGGAAUUAAAAUAAAUAAAAAGCAAAAUCAUAAUCUGAAACUUUUAAAUUUUGUGUAUAUAGGUACAUACUCUAAAAAUUCUUAAGAACAGGUUUGUCUGUACCCAGAGUGAAAUUUUCGGUGAAAAUACGGUCUAUUUGCUAAAGAGGUAGGAUGGACAUUAAGUGACAUGCCUUUAUGAUAUAAUAUGCAUAUGAAUGGAACUAGACACUCAAAUGUUGUGCUGUUUGACUUUUAAUCAGUGUAAUACAAGAAUUAAAAACAAUUUCAAUAUAGUCUUUAUUAGUCACUCUGACAUUUGUAUUAAUAUGAAUAAAUAAUUCCGUAGUAUACGCCGAUGAAGCUCUACACCACAACAAAACCCAAACAAUAUAUGGUGGUCAGGAUAACACUCCCCACCACAACAAAACCAAAUAGAUAUAGAGUAGUCAAGCCGAAACCUUAAACCACAACAAAACCAAAUAGAUAUAGAGCAGUCAAGCCGAAACCUUAAACCACAACAAAACCAAAUAGACAUGCAGUGGUCAUGAAGAUAUCCCCCACAACAAAACCAAAUAGAUAAAGAGUGGUCUAGAUAAAACCCUACACCACUACAAAACCAAAUAGACAUGAAGUGGUCAAAAUAAAGUCACCAACAAAAGACAUUUGUCUGUUGUAUUUAUCUCUUUCCCCAAUAUAAAGAAUACAUAAUAGUAUGAAUACUACAAGCUGCAGUAAUUUUUAAGCCAUUAACAUGACAUACAAAGGAUAGAAAUUUAGAUUUAAACAACGUACAUCAUUGACAAAGUUUGGAAUGACUAUAUCAACAUUGAUUCGAGGUUUUAGUACUCAGUAUUCUGUUUUAUCAGUUCUCAACAAGAAGACAGAAGAUAAGAAUCUAGUCUUAAAUCAUGAUAAGAUCUCUUUACCGCUUAAUGAUUAAAACGUGUACCUAUUCGUCUGACAAUGACCUUAUUUUAAUCGUUCGUUGUAUUAAAACGCUUCCGUGAAUUUAUGAUUCUUCAUUAACUACAAGUAAAAAAUUAAAAUGUGUUUAUAUAAAGAAAUAAAUGUAAAGUGUUCGUACUAUCAAACACAUUUCAUGUGAUAUUGACAUCAUCGUUAAUUCAUCUUUUGUUAAUCAACUUGAUGUUUUGUUUAUAUGAAAAGUUUCUCGAAUACUGUAAGUAAUAGAUCCCAACUACAUUAGACUCAUCAGAAGCGUUGUUAGGAUCAUAACAGUGAAUAGGUUUUCAAGUAUGUAUUUUGUUUGAUGUAUUUGAUUGUGGUUUUUGAUACUAGUAAUCAUGUACAGAAUGUUUUUACAGGUCAUGGAUUCCUCUUUUGAUCAUUGUGGUGUUUGUACUUCAAGACAUGUCUCUAAGCUCUCAUGGGUUUGGUGCUCCGACUGCGAUGAAGGACUAUGCCAAGACUGUACAGAACAUCAUAGCUUGUCAAAGGCAACAAGAAACCACAAGACUGUUCCGAUUGGUGAAUAUCAAAAGUUGCCAUCAUUUAUCGCGAACAUUAAUCUUCACUGCGAUGAACACGACGAGAAGUAUCAA